rnacentral:misc_RNA from 1 species
GAUGAAGAACGUAGCGAAAUGCGAUAAGUAAUGCGAAUUGCAGAAUUUCCGUGAGUCAUCGAAUCUUUGAACGCACAUUGCGCCCACUGGUAUUCCGGUGGGCAUGCCUGUUCGAGCGUCAUUUCACCACUCAAGCCUGGCUUGGUGUUGGGCGACGUCCUCUUUGGGGACGCGCCUCGAAACGCUCGGCGGCGUGGCACCGGCUUUAAGCGUAGCAGAAUCUUUCGCUUUGGAAGUCGGGGCCCCGUCUGCCGGAAGACCUGCUCGCAAGGUUGACCUCGGAUCAGGCAGGGAUACCCGCUGAACUUAAGCAUAUCAAUAAGCGGAGGA